UUGCCCCCUCUACCCCUCCUCCUCCCUCCAUCUCUUCUCGAUAGCUUCUCAGUGCCGUCUGCCGUGGCUCAUUCCCAACCUUCCCCAGCCAGCAUAAAACAAGCGAAGAGCCACCCUAAACCACCUACUAGAGCAAAUACUCUCAAGUCCCAACUAACCAAAACUGGGAGGAAGAGAAAAGCUGCAGACACGGUCUCUCUCUCACCCUUCACCGCUUCACGUAGCAGCAAGAAAAAGAAAGAAAAUAAAAAGAGAGAGAGAGACAGAGAUGGCUUGCACCUUGAAACUCCAAAACCCACCAUGAAAAAAGACCUUCUCUGGCCCCUGACCCUGAGAGAGAGUUGCUGUUGCUGCCAUUCGGUCGGUGCCUCCUUUUCGGUACGCCGCUGGUAUGUGGUAUCACUGGUAUGGUUGUUCUCCCAUCCCAAGGCGACGAGGGAAUAGGAAGCUAGAAAGUUCGUCUGCAGUCUGCACCUUUGCCCAUGGCCUAGGCGCCUAGCUCAGGCCGUAGCUCAGCGUCCGUCCAUGGGCCAGGGAGUCUGAAACCUUGCUUGCCUUGCCUGCCCGCUCCUCUCACUUCUCUCUCUCCUCCUCGCUCGUGUCCCCGGCGUUCUGCUGGUCCCUGGGGACUGGAGAGCGAAGGUCUGUCUCCUUUGCGCCUGCUCUGCUUCUUCAAUGCUGGGCGUCGGUGGCUUGGGCUCGGGCUCGGGCAUGGAACCAGGUACCAGCUGCGGUGCUCUGCUCAGAGAGCUUCAGCAAAUCUGGGCAGAAGUAGGGGAAAGUGAGGGCGAGAAGAACAAGGCGUUGCUGGACAUCGAAAGAGAGUGCCUGGAAGUCUACCGCAGGAAGGUGGACGAUGCCAAUCGGACUAGGGUCCAGCUGCACCAGUCAGUGGCUGCCAAAGAAGCUGAGGUUGCAUCUCUGAUGGCAACCCUUGGGGAGCACAAGCUGUACUUGAAGAAAGACAAGGGCGUUGUACCACUCAAGGAACAACUUGCCACCGUCGCCCCAGUACUGGAGAGCUUGAAAUGCAAGAAAGAGGAAAGGAUCAAACAGUUCUCUAAUAUUAGGUCACAGAUUGAGAAGAUCCGCUUUGAGCUAAGUGAAUAUAAUGAUCAGGGUGAUGACCCGAGCAGUCUUGCUGCUGAGGAACACGAUUUGUCGAUGAGGAAGCUUAAUAGUUACCAAACACAGCUUCGUGCCCUUCAGAAAGAUAAGUCUGAGCGCCUCCGCAAGGUUCUGGAGUAUAUAAAUGAAGUGCAUUCCUUAUGUGGAGUCCUUGGAAUUGAUUUUGGAAGUACUGUACACGAAGUUCAUCCCAGUUUGCAUCAGAAUGGUGUUGAGCAGUCCAGAAAUAUCAGUAACAGCACACUGGAGGGCCUUGCUAGUACAAUUUAUAAGCUAAAAGCGGAACGAAAGUCUAGAAUCCACAAGGCGAGAGAGAUCAUGGAGUCGUUGUGUCAACUUUGGAAACUCAUGGACUCUCCUGAAGAAGAAAAGAGACAGUUUAGUAACGUAAUGAGCAGCCUCAUAUUACCUGAGGAGGGAAUCACGUCACCUGGAGUUCUCUCCGAGGAAACAAUCGAGAAGAUGGAAUUUGAGGUCGAGAGGUUAACAAGACUAAAGACCAGCAGACUGAAGGAAAUCGUCAUGAAAAGGAGGGCAGAGUUAGAAGCGAUCUGCCAGAAUGCACACAUAGAACCUGAUGUCAGCACGGCCCCUGAACAGACUGAUGCUUUGAUCGAUUCUGGUUGCCUCAUCGACCCUUCUGAGCUCCUGGCGAAUAUUGAGUCACAAAUAUUAAAAGCGAAAGAAGAGUCUCUUAGUCGGAAAGAUAUAAUGGACAGGAUAAAUAGAUGGAUUGCUGCUUGCGAUGAAGAGGCUUGGCUUGAAGAAUAUAACCAGGACCCAAAGAGGUACAGUGCUGGAAGGGGUGCUCAUAUAAACCUUAAACGGGCAGAAAAGGCACGGAUUUUGGUUAGAAAAAUCCCAAGUAUGGUGGACGACUUGAUAAACCGAACCUUUGCUUGGGAAAACGCAAGAAAUAAACCCUUUCUCUAUGAUGGGCCUCUUGAUUUGCGUGCGCUUUUGAUAGGGACGCCUAAUAUCUGUACUAGAAGAGUACAGGCUUAGCCGGCAUCAGAAAGAAGAGGAAAAUCGACGGUACCGGGACCAGAAGAAGCUGGAGAGCAUCCUACUUGCAGAGAAAGAAGCGAUCUUCGGAUCUAGACCAAGCCCAAGGAAGACGAGCAGCUUAAGUAGGAAGGCAAAUGGGUACCGGCCAAAUGGGAACACCAACGGACUCAAGACUCCAACUCCUCGCCGAUUGUCUCUCGGCAGUGCUACUCCUGAGCUUUUGACGCCCAGAUCGUACUCUGGCCAUAAUAGAUACUUUGGCGAUGUGAGGCGUCUAUCGACUUCCCAUCUGAACUUCGGUGAUGAUUCGCUGUCAACGUUUACAUCCAUCAGUGGCUCUGAACCAGAAUCCCCCUCUAUUGGAUGAACACCGUACUGCUGGAUGACUGGAUGGUCAGUAUUGCGUAUUGUAAAUGGGCACCAUGUUACCAAGUUCUUGCACUAGCAUGUACAUUCCUGAUGUCAUAUAUUUAGCUCAUAUUGGAGUACUAAGUAUUGGACGGGUUGACUUGGUUUGGGUUGGGUGUGGAGUUGAAUUGUUUCAAGUUGAUGGCUUUGUAGAUUGACAAUUAGGCGGAAAGAUGUAGGGGAGCGAUCUGGAUUUGGGCAGUCAGCUGUAACAUAUCAUAACUUAUGUGUUUGGUUUGUGUGUGCAACCUUGUGUACAGGUGCAAUGAAAAAUCUGUGUGCAGAAUCUACUACUUCAAUA